AGUGCAGCGCUGCAUGAAGUCGAAUGGGCCUAUUUUAAACCCGGACAUACAGGCACAUGAAUUCAAAUGGAAGUGGAAUGGUUUUAACAGAGAACUCAGAGACUGGGGUUAGUGGUUAAAACAGUGAAGUUUUCAACUUAAGACUACUGGUUUCUUUUACUGUAGGCUGUCCGAUAGAUGGUCAUGGCGGAGGUUGAAGGCAGUCGUCUGCGUUGUGGCCUGUAUUUUCGCCAAGAUAUCUAGCAAUACGCUCUGGCUAAUGCAAUUAAAUGUUGCAGUCUUUCUACCACUGUUGAAAAAUAAUGUGCCGUGGUUGUAUACGCUAUGAGGAAAUUUCAGUGCAUGAACAACAGCCAGGAUGUGUGUGUUUUAGGCUUACAUUUCAUUAUGUAGAAAGCAAGUGCUAGUUACUUGCUGUGGAGCAUUUUGUUAUGACGGUGAUUUCUCCAGCAGGUGGCAGUGUUGUGAUUGUUUGAGGAGGUAGACUUUGAUAGACUCUACAUUUCACACAGUAGUACACAAACACAACCAGACCAUGGCCUCUUUGUCUCUAGUUGCGUAUGAAGACUCGGGUUCAGAUGAGGAAUCUGCCACAAACAAUGAGGGUGUCAGUUCCACUUUAAAAUGUGACAGCGCAGUCGAGCAAUUUCUUGGAAGACCUGGCAGCCCUGCAACUGGGGUUCCUAGGGAUAGACAAAGUACCAAUACAACUACCGUGGGACCCCUCUGGCAGUUUAAAUCUUCUCCAUGGGAACAACCACAUUCAGUGGAUUGCUGCAAGAAGGCGUUACAAAUACCUCCUCAUCCCUCACCAAAGAACUCUGCUUGUCCAAAUCCAGUUAAGAGGCUGGCACCUUCCCCGGUGGGAGUAAGACCUUACAUGCCAAAGAGACAGAGACUGGCCCCAACAGAUGACGAGGUGAUGAUGCCAGGGCCAAGUGUCAGCAGUGGCCCUGUUGAGGUCACUGCCGCCGUCACCACCACCAGUCAGGCCUCUUGUGCCCAGAUGCUCUCUGAGGUGUCUGACCGAGUGCGUCCUUUCUUGGGACAGAAAGUGGGCAGGAUGGAGCUGCCUAGACGUGUCCUCUUGCAGCUCCAGGCUCACCAGGGGCCGGUCAACACGGUGCAGUGGUGCCCAGUGCCUCACACAAGCCAUCUGCUCCUGUCUGCUUCAAUGGACAGGACAGUCAAGAUCUGGGAUGGCGCUGAAAGUGGGCGGUGCCUGCGGACGAUCUCUGCCCACAGCGGUGCUGUGAGGGAUGCCUGCUGGGCCCAGUGCGGGCGCCGACUCCUCUCUGGCUCUUUUGAUACCACGGCAACACUGACAGACGUGGAGACAGGGUCAGAGGUCGUUAAAGUGAGGAACCAGUUUAAGGUGAGCUGUCUUGCCCUUCAGCCUGCUGACCCUGACGUGUUUCUUUGUGGAGGUUUCAGUCCUGAGGUCAAGGCCUGGGAUGCACGCUCCUCUAAGAUGGUGAGAACAUACAAGGCUGGAAUACAGCAGACCCUGGAUAUUCUUUUCCUGUCUGGGGGGAAGGAGUUUGUUACCAGCAGCGACUCAGUCAGUCGAGACUCAGCUGACCGCACCCUCAUUGCCUGGGACUUUGAAACUACUGCCAAAGUCUCCAACCAAAUCUUUCAUGAGAGGUACACCUGCCCCAGUCUUGCAUUGCACCCAGAGAGCGAGUGUUUCGUAGCACAGACCAAUGGGAACUACAUCGCCGUUUUUUCAUCACAGAGGCCAUACCGCAUCAACAAGAGGCGGCGCUACGAAGGACAUAAGGUAGAGGGCUAUGCCAUCCAGUGUGAGUUCUCUCGGUGCGGAUCACUGCUGGCCUCUGGAAGCUCCUCUGGUUCUGUCCACUUCUACGACCACCAGAGCUCUCGGACACUUCACAUCCUCCGAGCUCACCAGCAGGCGUGCAUGUGUGUGUCUCUCCACCCCAUCCUGCCCUCGGUGGCGGCCACGUGUGACUGGAGUGGCGAGAUCAAGAUAUGGCACUGACCAGCCAAGGCAGCUCCACAAAUCACAGUCUCCGUCCAUCGAUAUGAACUGGAGCAGCAGCACUGUGAGUUUGGUGUACGCACUGUGAACUUGCACUGGAAAGUGUACUGGAAAGUGCUCAAUGAGCAAACAGAGCCUCACAACUUCAUGUUGGUGAAGUUUAUCAUGUGAAAAUGGAGCGUACCUGCCAGAUGAGAUGUAAUGUUCAAAGCCAGAAUGCCUACUAGGUGAGAUAUGUUGUUCAAUUACACUCAGUGACAUUUAAACUUAAAGAUACAAGCCCUGAUAGGUCCGUACUGGUACCCUGACUUGCUUUUAACUUUUCACAAUUUGUUCUGCUUGUUCAUGCUCAGACCAGUUCAAGGUUAAAGGGAAUUAUUCUUGACCAAUUCAAGACCAAUACUGAAAGCAAUGCCUAUGCAGGGCACAUACUAUGGCGUUCAGGUCAGACCAAGAUGCUCAUAUAUUUAAAUUUAUAUUUAAAGGAUGAAAUACCUAAUUUGGAAAAAUGUAACAUCUUUAUAACAUGCAGUAGUCUACAGUAUAUCCAACUGGCUAUGCCUUCUUGACUUGAAAAGAAAUGGGGUGAAGGCUUUCAUCAAGCCUCUCUACUUCAUACAUAUGUAAGUACACAAAUUAUGUAUAGGUACUGUGUGGCAACAUGCAACGAUUUCCUUUAAAAUGUAAGAAGCGUGGCUCUACCUCUGAUAGCUUGUGCGAUCGGUAAUGGGAUUUUCCACACUGGAGAAGCUGAGCGGCCAGGUUGCAGUCCUUGCGGUACAGCCCCUACGGGAGAGAGGAGUCACCUUUAGGUGUAAGAGAAUUGUGCUCUCUGAAGAAAACACCCCUGUAAUGAUGAUCAUGUUUCCAGGUCUGCGGUGCAGAAUAAUUUGAAAUAAAAUGUUGUUAAUAAAAAAGCUACAUACAUACAGUAUGUCUAUGUGCAAAUGAACAUUUUUUGUAGAAAGAUUAAACAAGCUAAAUUAUUAACAUGUUCACAAAAAUAAUCAAUAAUUGGAAACUUCACAAUCAAUCAAUAAUUGGAAACUUCAAUUCUCUCAAAUUUAGACACCCAAUUGCAGCAAAAUAUGAUUUUGUAUCGAGAAAAUGCCCUUAUGGAACUUGAAUGUAAGGACUGCAAGCUUUCUCUUCACCAAUCUUUUUUAAUCUGGCUUUUGCAGAGAAACAAAGUUUACUGCUCUGUCUUGAGCUUGGGCUGUCUCACGGGAUGACUGGGGGAAGAAGAAGACUACAUCAAAACAACAAAGCUGUCAAAGACCAGGCUGAAUCAAUCAGUGCAAAAAAUGAAAAAGUGCUUGUUCUUCCUCAUCAAGCUUCUAGGGGCAUCAUGGUCGUCAGUAAUCACCACAUCUUGCCAUUCUCCUCACUAGUGCUGAUAUGGAUCUCAUUAAAUGGGCGCCCCCGUAAAGUCAACCCUGUCUAAUAAGCCUCUUCAGCCUCUAAGAAUCUAGCUAAACUUGACACCCCUCUCACUGGCUCAAAGGACAACAUUUGACGGGUAAUUGUGCUCUGUUUCACAGUGAUCUCUUGUGAAACAUCUGAUUUGGGCCUCUUUUAUCUUCACCACAGAAUUAGAUCCUUGACAUUUUUGCAGACUUCAUGCAGAGACCUUGUCUCUGGAUAUAAUAUUUUGACAUUAGCUAUGUGUUUCCCCAUGGAUUGCGUGAAUGGAUGUUGGCAUUGCUAGCCUCCUGCAGUACCAAUUGAGAAAAUGAACUCAGCUCACCAGCAGCGGCAGAUUGGGAAACUGUACCUUGUCUAUAGAGUAACUGAGUGACAGUGUGCUUGAUUUUCUGACAUCAGAAAAUCUAUUUUUUUAAAUCACAGACAUUUUCAACUCUACUCUCAUAAUUCACCCACAGCACAUCGCUUGAAUCACUCCUUGCAUCUCAAUUUCAAACAACUCAACUUCUAAACUCAAGGGUGUCCCUUUCAAGAAAGUUAUGCAUGGAGAAGUGGGCCCCUGAAAACCCUUUCUCGGCACGAAAAGCUUUUCUUAGCCCUGGAAGGUCACGGGCUGACCCCAAUAAUCUCUGAAGGCCCCGAUGGGGAUUUUAGGCAUUAGUUGCGGCGUAGAGGUCUCUCUCAGCUGGGAAUGCCGCUGCAAUAGAAAGGCUUGCAUUCCCUCUUCCUCGCAGAGAGGGAAACCAAGUGAGGGAGAUAGAAGGAUAGAAAGCAAUGAAGGAAGACAGAAGGAAAGAAACAAACAAGACAGAAAUCAGACUGAAAGUAAGGAAGGACAAAUGGAAAGUGGAAGGGAGAGUAUAAGGUAUGGAAAGCCAGAGGGACAGACCGAACGAUGCAGAGGGAGGCUGAGAGAGGGUUGUCUGAAUUGCAGACUUUCCCAUUCCCAUUUUAAUUUAGCCAAGUGUCAACCAGUGGUGUGCGGAUGAAUUCACAAGUGGCCCACACUUGCCCAAUGUUGUAAGUCAACCCGCAACUCAAAAUGAUACCGGACCCACUUAAUUCCAAAAGGUGUGCUUUUGGUGAAUGUAGCCUUAAUUUUAAAUUUAGUUUUCAAAAGAAUUGAUCUUGAAAAGAAUUAGCCUUUUAAGUUUAUCUAAGAUGUGGGCUAUAUGAAAUGUUGGGCUGCUAUUGUCUGAUGUUGUCCUCUGUUGAUUUAUGAAUGAACAAAAAUGUGGCACCUGCAGGCGCAGUCUGCUCCCUGAUGCUGUCUUCCAGCUCCAUCCAGCUUUCCAGUAAGCACUGGCGCAUGCCAGUUACAAAAAAUUUUACUAUACAAGCCGCUUAACACGCAGUGUAUCCUUAUUGAGCUAUGUAAAACUUCCACAUAAACAGGAACAGAAAGCCCCCCUUAAUCACGUCAGCCUCCCUGUAAGGUUAAGUGUCAGCCUUAUUUUACUGAGCGACUUGUCAGUCUUGCAAAGCAGCACACUUAUUGUUCUUCUUAAGUUUUCUUAUUAAGUUCUUCUUAAGUUUUCUUAUUCCUGUAAGCCCGAUUUUUGGCCAGCUCCUGCUCCAAGACCUUUUGAGAUAUCGCCACCGGUCCAACUCUGGAACGUCCGGCCGGAACCGGUGUAGUGUGGAAAUUGAAAAUGAUGUCACUGACCCAUGUCAUUCUUCUGCCAUAUUGGAUUGAAUAGAAAGCGAAACUAAAGUUUCACAGGUCACAAAU